rnacentral:misc_RNA from 1 species
UCACACACACAAUCACAUGCACACAUGCACUGAAUGCUCUUCCUAUAUCACAAAAUCAUUUUUGGGUAGUUUUGUAAACAUAGAGUGAACAGUGAACUAAGCUCUAAUUUCUCUAAAAAAAUCAUAGAUCGUGGAAAUAGCUUCUCCAAACCAAAGGCCAAGAUCAAAGAUCAGACCCAGUUUAACUAGUAAUGAAAUGCAUUUCUGAAUCAUGGAUGGGGAAAAAGCAGGGCUUAGGGAUGGAGGGAACUUACUUCUCAUAAUGAGUGUGGUGGAGGCAACUAUUGAAUUUCUAGGAAUGCCCAAUUUUAUCAAUUACCCUAUUUUUGUGCCCUUGUUGAUCAUAAAUAUUAUUUAGUUCGUUUGAGUGUUUCUGCAUCAUCUGUUGACUUUUUACUUUUUGAGUGGUCACUAGUUGCUAAAAGAAGCUAGAGAACAUCUAUUUUGUUGUUGGUCAUAAUGGUAGGUGUUGAAAUAAAUGGAAUACCUAUAGAAUAAUUUCUUUUAGAAUAGCUCUUGGAAAGUUCCUCUGUUAAUAAAGAGGGUUUGUUUUGUGAACCCUAAUUAGUUUGGGACUGAGACUUGGUUGACUUGAGUAUGCUCUGAUUUCUAAUUUCAUAUGUAUGCACUGAAUUAUCCUCGUUUGCUUCCUUGGAUCUUUAUGUAACGUAAUUUGUUUCCCAUGUUUUGGCAAUUUGAAAUGUUCAGUUAUGUCCAUGAUAAGAAUAAUGACGUAUAAAAAUUGUGAUUUGUUCAUUCAUUGUCUAUGACUACGUGCAUAUAAUUGUUCAGUGGUAGGUAACUAGCUAAAUCUUGCAAAUAUUGUAAGAUUAAAUGAGCUAAUAAUACAUCAGAAUAUGUAAGUUCAUUUUCAUUUUGGAUAGGAGAAACUCAAUUUGGAUGUCUUUGCCUUGCAUCUGCUAAUUAGAACGACCUUCCAUUUGGUGAUUUUGAUAAAGUAAUGAAAGGUUUCUUCUCCAUUUGGAACUUGAUAUUGUUGGGCUUAAUUUGUCUUGUUGAACUAAUAUACAACGAUCUUCAAUAGAUUUCAUAGUUCAAUUGAGGCUAUCAAAGUCACAGGCCAAAUAUUUGGGUACCAUUUUGUACAUGCAGGUGGGUUCUUAGAGUAGUUAUACUUGUUGGAAAAAGGGGAGGUUUGGUGUUACAUGGGAUAGUAGGGAGAGGGAUGAGAUAGUGAGAGGCAUGGAAGGAUGGACACUCCAUGUAGACUUGGUACACAUGACAGGUUAGCGGUUGCAGGUUAGGCAGUGAUGAAGGGAAAGUACAAGGGAAUUUCUUGAGAAUUGUGA